UGAGCAGGACACAAACCGCGGGACCUGCCACUGAAUAGAGAGCGAACAGGCCCUGAAGCAGGCACCACAGUAGCAGUAGCAGUAGAACCACCAGCAGCAGCAGUACCACCAGCAGCGUCACCAGCAACAGCAUCGCCAGCACCAGCAGGAUCGGCACAAACCCAAGACGAACCUACCUGCAAUGUUUCCCAACAAAAAAAACAACAACGAAAAAAACAACUUUCCGGAGAAAAGCAACAAAUCCAGUAGUCAGUAAUAUGAAUGAAUGAAGAAUUCCUUUGAAGAAAAACAGCUUCCGAGAGCAGGUGUCGGAACAAAAACGUUAACUAAAAGGAAAACUAAAAUUGAAGCUAACACACACACACACGCAUACGCUACCGCGUACCUGUCCGUAAUAGAAGUACAAGAAUAUAAUUCAAUAUAACAAAAUAUAACUUUUAGAGAAGAGACCUUUAACAGAACAAGGAAUCCAAGGGCAUUCCCCCACUCGAAUCACUUGAAAUCAGAGCUGCAGGAGGACGCAACGCAAAUAAUAACAACAGUUUUGAAUUAUGGCCAAAAGUUAAUUAAAAGCACAAAAAAUACGGCACAUAAGUGAGGCUUAAACCAGGGAAAGCGGGAGCCAUAAAUCAAUCAUAACAAGAGAGAGCGACAAAGACAAAGAGCGCCAAAAAAAGACAGAGAGAGAGAGAGCCAAAAUAUGUAGAGGCUGCAUUGAAUGUGUGUGCAAAAAUCCAAUCGCAAUGUCAAUGCCUACUAUUUACAUGGCCAAUGAAAAAUGGCCAUCAAAUUGAAAGGCAUAACGAGCAAAGCGAACACACAGCACAACAAUAUGGCCCAAAGCCACGAGCAACAGCAACAAGCAGCAGCAGAA